CGUGUAGGCGGCUAGGUAGGUCCGUUGUGAAAACUCGAGGCUCAACCUCGAGACGUCGAUGGAAACCAUCUGGCUAGAGUCCGGAAGAGGAGAGUGGAAUUCCUGGUGUAGCGGUGAAAUGCGCAGAUAUCAGGAAGAACACCCGUGGCGAAGGCGGCUCUCUGGUACGUGACUGACGCUGAGACGCGAAAGCGUGGGAGCAAACA
rnacentral:rRNA from 1 species